UACGGGGGGAGCAAGCGUUGUUCGGAUUUACUGGGCGUAAAGGGCGCGUAGGCGGCCACUGCAAGUCAGUUGUGAAAUCUCCGGGCUUAACUCGGAAAGGUCAACUGAUACUGCAGGGCUAGAGUGCAGAAGGGGCAACUGGAAUUCUCGGUGUAGCGGUGAAAUGCGUAGAUAUCGAGUGGAACACCGGUGGCGAAGGCGGCCUUCUGGACAGAAACUGACGCUGAGACGCGAAAGCGUGGGGAGCAAACAGG
rnacentral:rRNA from 1 species